rnacentral:rRNA from 1 species
ACUUUAGCACGUUGAAUACACCCGUUCCCAAUAGAUGACUGAAGUUGAGCAAUGUUGCACGUGGUUGGUUUCUGGAUGAGUGACCAUCUCGGCAAUCGCGCAAGUA